rnacentral:rRNA from 1 species
CGGCGAACGGGUGCGUAACACGUGAGAAAUCUGCCCUUAAGUUCGGGAUAGCCCUACGAAAGUAGAAUUAAUACCGGAUGUGGCCCAGGGAGGGCAUCCUCCCCUGGCUAAAGCUCGGUUAAAGAGCGCUUUUGGAUGACCUCGCGGUCUAUCAGCUUGUUGGUGAGGUAACGGCUCACCAAGGCUCUGACGGAUAGCUGGUCUGAGAGGAUGAUCAGCCUCACUGGAACUGAGACACGGUCCAGACACCUACGGGUGGCAGCAGUCGAGAAUCAUUCACAAUGGGCGCAAGCCUGAUGGUGCGACGCCGCGUGGGGGAAGAAGGGCUUCGGUUCGUAAACCCCUGUCAUCUGUGAGUAAGACUCCCAAUAAAAGCUUGGGAGGUUGAUAUUAGCAGAAGAGGAAGGGACGGCUAACUCUGUGCCGGCAGCCGCGGUAAUACAGAGGUCCCAAGCGUUGUUCGGAUUUACUGGGCGUAAAGGGUGCGUAGGCGGCUAGAAAAGUUUGAUGUGAAAUCUCCGGGCUUAACCCGGAAACUGCGUUGAAAACUAUCUGGCUAGAGGAUCGGAGAGGAGAUUGGAAUUCUCGGUGUAGCAGUGAAAUGCGUAGAUAUCGAGAGGAACACCAGUUGCGAAGGCGGAUCUCUGGACGGUUUCUGACGCUGAGGCACGAAAGCUGGGGUAGCGAAGAGGAUUAGAUACCCUCGUAGUCCCAGCCGUAAACGGUGCACACUUG